rnacentral:rRNA from 1 species
GGGGAGGCAGCAGUAAGGAAUAUUGGUCAAUGGAGGCAACUCUGAACCAGCCAUGCCGCGUGCAGGAAGACAGCCCUCUGGGUCGUAAACUGCUUUUAUUCGGGAAUAAACCUACUUACGUGUAAGUAGCUGAAUGUACCGAAGGAAUAAGGAUCGGCUAACUCCGUGCCAGCAGCCGCGGUAAUACGGAGGAUCCAAGCGUUAUCCGGAUUUAUUGGGUUUAAAGGGUGCGUAGGCGGCCUGUUAAGUCAGGGGUGAAAGACGGUAGCUCAACUAUCGCAGUGCCCUUGAUACUGAUGGGCUUGAAUACACUAGAGGUAGGCGGAAUGUGACAAGUAGCGGUGAAAUGCAUAGAUAUGUCACAGAACACCGAUUGCGAAGGCAGCUUACUAUGGUGUCAUUGACGCUGAGGCACGAAAGCGUGGGGAUCAAACAGGAUUAGAUACCCUGGUAGUCCACGCCCUAAACGAUGAAUACUCGCUGUUAGCGAUAUACAGUUAGCGGCUAAGCGAAAGCGUUAAGUAUUCCACCUGGGGAGUACGCCCGCAAGGGUGAAACUCAAAGGAAUUU